rnacentral:rRNA from 1 species
AUUGAACGCUGGCGGCAGGCCUAACACAUGCAAGUCGGACGGUGGCACAGAGGAGCUUGCUCCCCGGGUGACGAGUGGCGGACGGGUGAGUAAUGUCUGGGGAUCUGCCCGAUAGAGGGGGAUAACCACUGGAAACGGUGGCUAAUACCGCAUAACGUCGCAAGACCAAAGAGGGGGACCUUCGGGCCUCUCACUAUCGGAUGAACCCAGAUGGGAUUAGCUAGUAGGCGGGGUAACGGCCCACCUAGGCGACGAUCCCUAGCUGGUCUGAGAGGAGGACCAGCCACGCGGGAACUCAGACACGGUCCAGACUCCUACGGGAGGCAGCGGUGGGGAAUAUUGCACAAUGGGCGCAAGCCUGAUGCAGCCAUGCCGCGUGUAUGAAGAAGGCCUUCGGGUUGUAAAGUACUUUCAGCGGGGAGGAAGGCGAUGUGGUUAAUAACCGCAUUGAUUGACGUUACCCGCAGAAAAAGCACCGGCUAACUCCGUGCCAGCAGCCGCCGUAA